UACGGGGGAGCAAGCGUUGUUCGGAUUUACUGGGCGUAAAGGGCGCGGUAGGCGGUCGUGACAAGUCACUUGUGAAAUCUCCGGGCUUAACUCGGAACGGUCAAGUGAUACUGUCGGACUAGAGUACAGAAGGGGCAACUGGAAUUCUCGGUGUAGCGGUGAAAUGCGUAGAUAUCGAGAGGAACACCUGCGGCGAAGGCGGGUUGCUGGGCUGAUACUGACGCUGAGGCGCGAAAGCCAGGGGAGGCGAAACGGG
rnacentral:rRNA from 1 species